CCCUGGUUGUCAGUGACUGACAAGCAGCCACAUCUGUGCUACUGCUGUGCCAGUCAUCCAAGGCACAGAUGCCACCUCUUCCACGUCACAUCCUGGCCAUCUCUCCAGAUACUUCCAUCACCCUCAGGUUCUUUGUCUAGUUCCCAAUUUGGCUCUGUGACUACCCAGCCACCUGCCUUUAUUUGACAUAGAGAUGACCGUGGCUCUCACUGCAGUUCUCACUGCUCAUUCUAUAAUGUUCAUCAUUCCUUUGGAUUUCUGUCCAACUGCUCAUUCUCUAGCCCCUAAACAAUUCCAAUCUUCUCUCCAGGCCACCACCAACUCCACCAGACACCUAAACUAGCUGAAAUACCAUCAAAAGGAAAAAAACUGUCACUUGUUCACGUGACAGGGAUAACAUGGGGAAAAACAGGAUGAGAGUUUUAAAAAGGUGGGAAAAUGGAAAGACUCAAAUGGCAUUUUCUUACCUAGCAUUUGCAAGUGGAUUCAAUUAGGAGAAAAAGCCUAUGAGGGUCAUUAACAAUUU
rnacentral:lncRNA from 1 species